rnacentral:rRNA from 1 species
GACGAACGCUGGCGGCGUGCUUAACACAUGCAAGUCGAACGGUGACCCUCGGAGCUUGCUUCGGGGUGAGCAGUGGCGAACGGGUGAGUAACACGUGAGUAACCUGCCCCUGACUCUGGAAUAAGCGCUGGAAACGGCGUCUAAUACCGGAUACGACACGCCUCCGCAUGGGGAGCGUGUGGAAAAUUUUUCGGUUUGGGAUGGACUCGCGGCCUAUCAGCUUGUUGGUGAGGUAAUGGCUCACCAAGGCGUCGACAGGUAGCCGGCCUGAGGGGGGGACCGGCCACACUGGGGAUGAGACACGGGCCAGACUCCUACGGGAGGCAGCAGUGGGGAAUAUUGGACAAUGGGCGAAAGCCGGAUCCAACAACGCCGCGUGGGGGAUGACGGCCUUCGGGUUGUAAACCUCUUUCAGCACCGACGAAGCGUGAGUGACGGUAGGUGCAGAAGAAGGACCGGCCAACUACGUGCCAGCCGCCGCCGUAAGAC